GGACCCGCACAAGCAGUGGAGCAUGUGGUUUAAUUCGACGCAACGCGAAGAACCUUACCAGCGUUUGACAUGGAAAGUGCCGGUUACAGAAUGGUAACCUUCAGUUCGGCUGGCUUUCACACAGGUGCUGCAUGGCUGUCGUCAGCUCGUGUCGUGAGAUGUUGGGUUAAGUCCCGCAACGAGCGCAACCCUUAUCGUUAGUUACUAACAGUUCGGCUGAGGACUCUAGCGAAACUGCCGGUGAUAAGCCGGAGGAAGGUGGGGAUGACGUCAAGUCCUCAUGGCCCUUACACGCUGGGCUACACACGUGCUACAAUGGUAACUACAACGGGACGCAAUACCGCGAGGUGGAGCUAAUCCCCAAAAGUUAUCUCAGUUCGGAUUGCACUCUGCAACUCGAGUGCAUGAAGUUGGAAUUGCUAGUAAUCG
rnacentral:rRNA from 1 species